ACGCUGGCGGCAGGCCUAACACAUGCAAGUCGAGCGGCAGCGGAAAGUAGCUUGCUACUUUGCCGGCGAGCGGCGGACGGGUGAGUAAUGUCUGGGAAACUGCCUGAUGGAGGGGGAUAACUACUGGAAACGGUAGCUAAUACCGCAUGACCUCGCAAGAGCAAAGUGGGGGACCUUCGGGCCUCACGCCAUCGGAUGUGCCCAGAUGGGAUUAGCUAGUAGGUGGGGUAAUGGCUCACCUAGGCGACGAUCCCUAGCUGGUCUGAGAGGAUGACCAGCCACACUGGAACUGAGACACGGUCCAGACUCCUACGGGAGGCAGCAGUGGGGAAUAUUGCACAAUGGGCGCAAGCCUGAUGCAGCCAUGCCGCGUGUGUGAAGAAGGCCUUAGGGUUGUAAAGCACUUUCAGCGAGGAGGAAGGGUUCAGUGUUAAUAGCACUGUACAUUGACGUUACUCGCAGAAGAAGCACCGGCUAACUCCGUGCCAGCAGCCGCGGUAAUACGGAGGGUGCAAGCGUUAAUCGGAAUUACUGGGCGUAAAGCGCACGCAGGCGGUUUGUUAAGUCAGAUGUGAAAUCCCCGAGCUUAACUUGGGAACUGCAUUUGAAACUGCCAAGCUAGAGUCUUGUAGAGGGGGGUAGAAUUCCAGGUGUAGCGGUGAAAUGCGUAGAGAUCUGGAGGAAUACCGGUGGCGAAGGCGGCCCCCUGGACAAAGACUGACGCUCAGGUGCGAAAGCGUGGGGAGCAAAC
rnacentral:rRNA from 1 species